UACGUGCCAGCAGCCGCGGUAAUACGUAGGUGGCAAGCGUUGUCCGGAUUUAUUGGGCGUAAAGGGCGCGCAGGCGGUUCGUUAAGUUCGAGGUGAAAUCUCCUGGCUCAACUGGGAGGGGUCUUCGGAUACUGGCGGACUUGAGGAGAGCAGAGGUGAGUGGAAUUCUGGGUGUAGUGGUGAAAUGCGUAGAUAUCCAGAGGAACACCAGUGGCGAAGGCGACUCACUGGGCUCCACCUGACGCUGAGGCGCGAAAGCGUGGGGAGCGAACCGGAUUAGAUACCCGGGUAGUCCACGCCGUAAACGAUGGACACUAGGUGUGGGGGGUAUUGACCCCCUCUGUGCCGCA
rnacentral:rRNA from 1 species